UACCGACAGAAGCCUAAUAUAACGUUAGUUUACCUUCCUCACGAGUCCCGACAAGUUCGGAGCAAACUUCAGCAGCUAACUGCUAGCAAGUUCAGCCAUCAAAGUCUAGGACAAAAUAUACAAAUAAGUCUUAUUAAGUCUUAAAAUCCUGCACAGUCUAAUAUAACGUAGGUUUCAGAAGUAAAACCUCACUUUUCUCUGGCUUAUAAGUCCCAAUGAAGUCCUAGUGAAGACGGUGACAAAGCUGUUAACUCUGAUGUAUUGUUGAAUCAGGCUCCUCAACACCGAGUGGAUGAACACUGAAAUAUUACACCGCCAAAGAGUUACCCUGAACACAACCUGUAGUCAAAUGUAGAGAAUAAACUCCCAAAAUCUAACACUUUAACACUUUUUUGUUUAACUCCAGAUUUUUGAACAGAAACAGAAAUUUGCUGUGUAGCAGCUUUAACUGACAGAAUCAGAGCCAAUCAGUGGAGGAUCAGCUGAUGUUUUUACAGCACAAAUGAUUCCAGAUAAUAUCAGAUGAAUGAUUUGUGUUUCCUCUGCACAUGAAGGUAGAAGGUUGAUGUGGAUUCAGCAGCAUGGACCAGAGGGAGGACAAAGAGGAGGGAGUCAGACAUCUGCAGGACGGGUUGACUGGUUUCAGUCAUUCACCUGAUCCCAGCUGUGUUUCCCUCAGAAGUGAUUGGUCACAACAUCGUAACAUUGAUUUUAAAGGACAUCAACCUUCUGCUCCUGAGAGGAUCAAUCCAGACCCCAGCUGUGUGUCCCUCAACAGUGAUUGGUCACAACAUCGUAACAUUGAUUUUAAAGGACAUCAACCCUCUGCUCCUGAGAGAGUCCACCAGCAGAGCUCAGAGGUUCUCAGUGGUCAGUCUACCCAGCAGCAUCAGACACAGCUGGACUCCA